GACGAACGCUGGCGGCGUGCUUAACACAUGCAAGUCGAACGGAAAGGCCCUGCUUUUGUGGGGUGCUCGAGUGGCGAACGGGUGAGUAACACGUGAGUAACCUGCCCUUGACUUUGGGAUAACUUCAGGAAACUGGGGCUAAUACCGGAUAGGAGCUCCUGCUGCAUGGUGGGGGUUGGAAAGUUUCGGCGGUUGGGGAUGGACUCGCGGCUUAUCAGCUUGUUGGUGGGGUAGUGGCUUACCAAGGCUUUGACGGGUAGCCGGCAUGAGAGGGUGACCGGCCACAUGGGGCCUGAGAUACGGCCCAGACUCCUACGGGAGGCAGCAGUGGGGAAUAUUGCACAAUGGGCGGAAGCCUGAUGCAGCAACGCCGCGUGCGGGAUGAAGGCCUUCGGGUUGUAAACCGCUUUCGCCUGUGACGAAGCGUGAGUGACGGUAAUGGGUAAAGAAGCACCGGCUAACUACGUG
rnacentral:rRNA from 1 species